AACGAACGCUGGCGGCAGGCUUAACACAUGCAAGUCGAGCGCCCCGCAAGGGGAGCGGCAGACGGGUGAGUAACGCGUGGGAAUCUACCCAUCUCUACGGAAUAACGCAUGGAAACGUGUGCUAAUACCGUAUACGUCCUUCGGGAGAAAGAUUUAUCGGAGAUGGAUGAGCCCGCGUUGGAUUAGCUAGUUGGUGGGGUAAAGGCCUACCAAGGCGACGAUCCAUAGCUGGUCUGAGAGGAUGAUCAGCCACGCUGGGACUGAGACACGGCCCAGACUCCUACGGGAGGCAGCAGUGGGGAAUAUUGGACAAUGGGCGCAAGCCUGAUCCAGCCAUGCCGCGUGAGUGAUGAAGGCCCUAGGGUUGUAAAGCUCUUUCACCGGUGAAGAUAAUGACGGCAACCGGAGAAGAAGCCCCGGCUAACUUCGUGCCAGCAGCCGCCGUAAUAC
rnacentral:rRNA from 1 species